AGAGAAGAGUCAUAUUACAUGUUUUGUGCGUGAAUCUAAUUCGUAUGCUCAUGUAGUAAUCCUAUCUUGUUGUUGGAUUAGAUUCACGCACAAACUCGUAAUCUGUCUUUU
rnacentral:pre_miRNA from 2 species